CUGCCUUUCAGAGGGGGAUAACAGUUGGAAACGACUGCUAAUACCGCAUAACGCUGCGAUGGGGCAUCCCGAUGCAGCCAAAGGAGCAAUCCGCUGGAAGAUGGGCUCGCGGCCGAUUAGCUAGUUGGUGGGGUAACGGCCCACCAAGGCGACGAUCGGUAGCCGGACUGAGAGGUUGAUCGGCCACAUUGGGACUGAGACACGGCCCAGACUCCUAUGGGAGGCAGCAGUGGGGGAUAUUGCACAAUGGAGGAAACUCUGAUGCAGCGACGCCGCGUGAGGGGAGACGGUCUUCGGAUUGUAAACCUCUGUCUUUGGGGAAGAAAAUGACGGUACCCAAAGAGGAAGCUCCGGCUAACUACGUGCCAGCAGCCGCGGUAAUACGUAGGGAGCGAGCGUUGUCCGGAAUUACUGGGUGUAAAGGGAGCGUAGGCGGGCGAGAAAGUUGAAUGUUAAAUCUACCGGCUUAACUGGUAGUCUGCGUUCAAAACUUCUUGUCUUGAGUGAAGUAGAGGCAGGCGGAAUUCCUAGUGUAGCGGUGAAAUGCGUAGAUAUUAGGAGGAACACCAGUGGCGAAGGCGGCCUGCUGGGCUUUAACUGACGCUGAGGCUCGAAAGCGUGGGGAGCAAACAGGAUUAGAUACCCUGGUAGUCCACGCUGUAAACGAUGA
rnacentral:rRNA from 1 species